AUUGAACGCUGGCGGCAGGCCUAACACAUGCAAGUCGAGCGAGCGGCGGACGGGUGAGUAAUGUCUGGGAAACUGCCUGAUGGAGGGGGAUAACUACUGGAAACGGUAGCUAAUACCGCAUACCAUCAGAUGUGCCCAGAUGGGAGUAGCUAGUAGGUGGGGUAAUGGCCCACCUAGGCGACGAUCCCUAGCUGGUCUGAGAGGAUGACCAGCCACACGGGAACGGAGACACGGUCCAGACGCCUACGGGAGGCAGCGGUGGGAAAUAUUGCACAUUGGGCGCAAGCCUGAUGAGGCCAUGCCGCGUGUGGAAAGAGGGCCUUCGGGUUGUAAAGCACUUUCAGCGGGGAGGCGUUACCCGCAGAAGAAGCACCGGCUAACUCCGUGCCAGCAGCCGCGGUAAUAC
rnacentral:rRNA from 1 species